AUUGAACGCUGGCGGCAGGCUUAACACAUGCAAGUCGAACGAGCGGCGGACGGGUGAGUAAUGUCUGGGAAACUGGCUUAUGGAGGGGGAUAACUACGGGAAACUGUAGCUAAUACCGCGUACCAUCGGAUGUGCCCAGGUGGGAUUAGCUAGUUGGUGGGGUAAUGGCUCACCAAGCCGACGAUCCCUAGCUGGUCUGAGAGGAUGACCAGCCACACUGGGACUGAGACACGGCCCAGACUCCUACGGGAGGCAGCAGUGGGGAAUAUUGCGCAAUGGGGGCAACCCUGACGCAGCCAUGCCGCGUGAAUGAAGAAGGCCUUCGGGUUGUAAAGUUCUUUCGGUGGCGAGGCGUUAACUACAGAAGAAGCACCGGCUAACUCCGUGCCAGCAGCCGCGGUAAUAC
rnacentral:rRNA from 1 species